UACGGAGGGUGCAAGCGUUAUCCGGAAUCACUGGGUUUAAAGGGUGCGUAGGCGGUUGUAUAAGUCAGGGGUGAAAGGAUGCAGCUUAACUGUAUAAUUGCCUUUGAUACUGUAUGACUUGAAUAAGGUUGAGGUUGGCGGAAUGUGACAUGUAGCGGUGAAAUGCUUAGAUAUGUCAUGGAACACCGAUUGCGAAGGCAGCUGACUGGGCCUUUAUUGACGCUGAGGCACGAAAGCGUGGGUAGCGAACAGGAUUAGAUACCCGAGUAGUCC
rnacentral:rRNA from 1 species